CCCCCUUGUUUUGGUUUAAAUCGGCUUUUACUACAUAUGUCAUAUGUACUCUUUAGUUGGUUCUUCUUGUAGAAAAGCAUGCAAUCAUUAUGGCAUGCAUUUAUCUUCUCGUAUCCUAUGCCUAACCAUUUCACUAUUUUCUUUGAAGUAUAGAAACUCCCAACAAGCAUCUCAUCCUUCGAUAGUAUUUUCUUUAUUAUUGCUACCA
rnacentral:lncRNA from 1 species